rnacentral:rRNA from 1 species
UACAGAGGUCUCAAGCGUUGUUCGGAUUCAUUGGGCGUAAAGGGUGCGUAGGCGGCGCGGUAAGUCGGGUGUGAAAUCUCGGAGCUUAACUCCGAAACUGCAUUCGAUACUGCCGUGCUUGAGGACUGGAGAGGAGAAUGGAAUUCCCGGUGUAGCGGUGAAAUGCGCAGAUAUCGGGAGGAACACCGGUGGCGAAGGCGGGGUCUCUGGGCCGAUACUGACGCUGAGGAGCGAAAGCGUGGGGAGCGAACAGG